rnacentral:rRNA from 1 species
UACGGAGGGUGCAAGCGUUAUCCGGAUUCACUGGGUUUAAAGGGUGCGUAGGCGGGCAUGUAAGUUAGUGGUGAAAUCUCAGAGCUUAACUCUGAAACUGCCAUUGAUACUAUGUGUCUUGAAUUUCCUGGAGGUUAGCGGAAUAUGUCAUGUAGCGGUGAAAUGCUUAGAUAUGACAUAGAACACCGAUUGCGAAGGCAGCUGACUACGGGUAGAUUGACGCUGAGGCACGAAAGCGUGGGGAUCAAACAGG